rnacentral:tRNA from 1 species
GAGGGUAUAGCUCAGCAGUAGAGUACAUGCCUAGCAUGCACAAGGUCCUGGGUUCAGUCCUCAGUACCUCCA